rnacentral:rRNA from 1 species
GGACCAAGGAGUCUAGCAUGUGCGCGAGUCAUUGGGAUAUUUACGAAACCUAAAGGCGCAAUGAAAGUGAAGGUCCGCCGUGCGCGGACCGAGGGAGGAUGGACGGUCCUGAGGGGCCGUCUCGCACUCCCGGGGCGUCUCGCUCUCAUCGCGAGAAGAGGCGCACCCAGAGCGUACACGCUGGGACCCGAAAGAUGGUGAACUAUGCCUGGUCAGGACGAAGUCAGGGGAAACCCUGAUGGAGGUCCGUAGCGAUUCUGACGUGCAAAUCGAUCGUCGGAACUGGGUAUAGGGGCGAAAGACUAAUCGAACCAUCUAGUAGCUGGUUCCCUCCGAAGUUUCCCUCAGGAUAGCUGGCGCUCGCUUCUCGCGAGUCUCAUUCGGUAAAGCGAAUGAUUAGAGGCAUUGGGGUCGAAACGGCCUCAACCUAUUCUCAAACUUUAAAUGGGUGAGAUCUCCGGCUUGCUUGAACUGUGAAGCCGCGAGAUAUCGGAUCAGAGUGCCAAGUGGGCCACUUUUGGUAAGCAGAACUGGCGCUGUGGGAUGAACCAAACGCCGAGUUAAAGCGCCUAAAUCGACGCUUAUGGGAUACCAUGAAAGGCGUUGGUAACUUAAGACAGCAGGACGGUGGCCAUGGAAGUCGGA